rnacentral:rRNA from 1 species
CACCGCGGUUAUACGAGAGGCUCAAAUUGAUGAUCAGCGGCGUAAAGAGUGAUUAAAGGAGUAAAAUAACUAAAGCCGUACCCCUCUUAGGCCGUCAUACGCUUCUAGAGAUGUGAAGCCCCAAAACGAAAGUAGCUUUAAUUUAACCCCUCGAAUUCACGACAGCUAAGGAA